rnacentral:rRNA from 1 species
UACGUAGGGUGCAAGCGUUAAUCGGAAUUACUGGGCGUAAAGCGUGCGCAGGCGGUGAUGUAAGACAGAUGUGAAAUCCCCGGGCUCAACCUGGGAACUGCAUUUGUGACUGCAUCGCUGGAGUGCGGCAGAGGGGGAUGGAAUUCCGCGUGUAGCAGUGAAAUGCGUAGAUAUGCGGAGGAACACCGAUGGCGAAGGCAAUCCCCUGGGCCUGCACUGACGCUCAUGCACGAAAGCGUGGGGAGCAAACA